GACGAACGCUGGCGGCGUGCUUAACACAUGCAAGUCGAACGGAAAGGCCCUUCGGGGUACUCGAGUGGCGAACGGGUGAGUAACACGUGGGUGAUCUGCCCUGCACUUUGGGAUAAGCCUGGGAAACUGGGUCUAAUACCGAAUAGGACCACGCGCUUCAUGGUGUGUGGUGGAAAGCUUUUGCGGUGUGGGAUGGGCCCGCGGCCUAUCAGCUUGUUGGUGGGGUAAUGGCCUACCAAGGCGACGACGGGUAGCCGGCCUGAGAGGGUGACCGGCCACACUGGGACUGAGAUGCGGCACAGACUCCUACGGGAGGCAGCAGUGGGGAAUAUUGCACAAUGGGCGCAAGCCUGAUGCAGCGACGCCGCGUGAGGGAUGACGGCCUUCGGGUUGUAAACCUCUUUCACCAGGGACGAAGCGUAAGUGACGGUACCUGGAGAAGAAGCACCGGCCAACUACGUG
rnacentral:rRNA from 1 species